rnacentral:rRNA from 1 species
GACGAACGCUGGCGGCGUGCUUAACACAUGCAAGUCGUACGGUAAGGCCCUUUCGGGGGUACACGAGUGGCGAACGGGUGAGUAACACGUGAGUAACCUGCCCACAACUUUGGGAUAACGCUAGGAAACUGGUGCUAAUACUGGAUAUGUGCCCCUGCUGCAUGGUGGGGGUUGGAAAGCUCCGGCGGUUGUGGAUGGACUCGCGGCCUAUCAGCUUGUUGGUGGGGUAGUGGCCUACCAAGGCGGCGACGGGUAGCCGGCCUGAGAGGGUGACCGGCCACAUUGGGACUGAGAUACGGCCCAGACUCCUACGGGAGGCAGCGGUGGGGAAUAUUGCACAAUGGGCGCAAGCCUGAUGCAGCAACGCCGCGUGCGGGAUGACGGCCUUCGGGUUGUAAACCGCUUUCAGCAGGGACGAAGCUUUUUGUGACGGUACCUGCAGAAGAAGCACCGGCUAACUACGUG